UUGGUUUUGGCUACAACUGAAAUGACAGAGAGAAUCUGAGAGACUCUUACUGUGCUCUCAGCAUCACUCAUCACUGUAAGAAAUGGCAGAGUGCACAAGUGUGUUGUUGUCAUUUCAUUAGGAAACAUCAACACUUGACAAUGGGCCAACGGACGAAACCACGUCAAUGAUGACACAGUGGGGGAAAAAAAGACGUCUGAUUUGUUUUUCUGUCAGACCCAGAUCUGAUCUGUUCUAAUCAGUCAGAAGAGAAAAAGGCAGCACAGGGUCCAAUCUGUUCAAUUUCAAUCUGGACCACAUAGUGGCUGGAGAUCACAGCCCUGCCAGAAGAUUGACCUUGCCAGCUGGCUGAAGACAGCGCCCCCGCCGGAUAUGGAGGACCCGGGGCCACAGUCACACUGUGGAGGUUUACACAGUCAGAGCAUGGGAAGUAUGGAGUACCAUCAGACUGGAAUAAAUGUCUGUGAAGUGGGAAGGAACCCAAGCACAUGUUUUGGAUAUAGAGAUGGGCGAGAUAUGGAUGUGAAUGGAUUUUUAUCACCAUCCAGGCUGUGCCAGUAGAGCAAGGGAGCGUGAGCAGAGAUAAUUCACAUCCAGACCUGGAAGGUUUACUGUGUAGCGAAGGAGAAGCGUGCAUGACUCAAGGGCCCUGACAUAGUGGGGGAGAGUGAGCAUGGGGGAGGAGGGGGAGGGUGAAAGAGGCGAUGCUUGACCUUAGCUGAAGGGACGAGCCCCUAGGGGUCAGUCAUUCUGCUGAUUUCUUCCAUUUGGAGAAACAUCGCAGUGAGGCGAGAUGAUCCCGCCGUGCAGCAGGGACCAAACAAAUGCACACACGUCACCGAGACAAGCAGCUUGCUGUCGCUGUCUCACACCAUAACUUUCUUCCUCCUGCCUUGUUUUUUUCUCUGCUCUGCUCUGUUGCAUUACAGCCCAGUCACAUAAGGCUAAGACAGGUUCCUAACUACCUGAUUAAGGACAGACUUGUAAAUAUACAGAUAGACAUUUACAUUUGUGGUGUCAGACUAUUUUACAGAAUAGCACUGAAACAGCUCAUUUUGUGAAAAUGUAAACUCUAAGCGUGGACUGUGCAGUACCCGGCAUGCGAUCAAGAAGGCUGCUGUAGGAGAGGAAAGCAGGAAAAGCUGAGCGUGACGGUUCUUAAUUAAAACUUUUACAGUGUCUGCAUGUCGGUUAUCUGCUUCUUAGUGUUUUUUGGAAGAGAAAGUGUUUAGUUCGGGGGCCCAAGACUUUGCCCAAGAUUAUGUUUGCUACAUGCAUUGACAUAAAGUAGCAAACAUACAACCGACAUAGUAAUGUGUUAUGUUUUAUGCAUGAUUCCAUUGUGGAGUCUCUCCUUAUAUCCAGCAGGCCUUUUUAUAAACAUAAGUCUAAUGUGUACCAUGCUAAACCGGGUUGGAAUGACUAUGUAAAAGAGCUCCAUGCUGAGGCUAGAACGGCUUUUAAAGCAUGGGUAGAAUCAGGUAGAAAUGAACAUGGUCCCAUAUUUGAACAUAAGAAACGUGCAGAUGCUCAUUUUAAAUAUGCCCUUUGAUUUAUUAAAAGGUAUGAGAAUACAAUGAGAUCUGAUUCACUUGCGAGGAAGUUGCAAAAUAAUAGUCCUAAUGAUUUCUGGAAAGAAGUCAGAAUGAAUGAACAAUUGUAAAACGUCGCUACCAUUAAAUAUUGAUGGAGUAAGUGGCUCAGAAAAAAAUUCUCAGUUGUGACAGAAACAUUACUAUGAUCUGUUCAACUGUGUUAAAAGCAACUCGUUUAGUGUGGGCAACACAGACAAUAAUGAGGAGGUGAUUGUCACCCCACAAGACGUCCAAGACACUGUCAUGAAGCUAGGAGAUAAUAAGGCAUCUGGUAUGGAUAAUAUAACUGCUGAACAUUUAAAACAUGCUGGUAAAAAACUCUACCCUUUGCUUGCUAUUUGUUUUACUGGGUUAUUAGUCCAUGGUAUUCUACCUGACUCUAUUUUAUCUGUUAUACUAGUGUCUGUCAUUAAAGAUAAAGCUGGUAAACUAAACAGCUGGGAGAAUUACAGGCCUAUAGCCUUGGCCAGCAUUUUAUCCAAAGUGAUGACGAGAACGCUACUAAAUAGGCUGGAACAGUACAUCCUGACUUCUGACAACCAGUUUGGCUUUAAACGUAAACAUGGCACUGAUAUGUGCAUUUUUGCUGUAAAGGAGGUUUUAGAUAAAUACAAUAGGCAAAAUUCCACAAUUUUUAUGUGUUUUAUUGAUGCUUCUAAAGCCUUUGACCAUAAAAUCAUGAAAAACUAUUUAAUAAAUUACAUGAAAGAGGUGUUCCUAGAUUUCUAGUUAGAAUCCUGGUUUUUUGGUACGCUCAUCAGAUGAUGCAAAUUAGAUGGGGAAAUUCCGUAUCUGCUCCGUUCCAUGUGAAUAAUGGAGUUCGAAAAGGCAGUAUUAUGUCUCCUUUCCUUUUUAACAUCUAUAUGGAUGAUCUGUCACUGCAGUUGAAAAGCUGUGGAACAGGGUGUAUAGUUGGCAAUUCUAUCAUUAACCACCUCAUGUACGUGGAUGAUUUGGUGAUUUUCUGUCCAUGUAGUGCUAGUCUUCAACAGUUAUUGAGGGUAUGUUCACAAUAUGGUAUAGAUUUUGACAUCAAAUAUAAUGCAACUAAGAGUAAUAUUAUGUGUUCGGUGAAUGUGAAGAUCUCUCUUUUUAAAGCUUUUUGUACUCUACUACAUGCGGCCCACCUGUGGUGUUGCUACAGAAAAGGCAGCAUGCAGAGACUCACAGUGGCUUAUAAUGACAGUAUGAGGCUGCUGCUUAAAGCUCCAAGAAGCUGCAGCGCAAGCCAAAUGUUUGUUAAUGUUGGAGUACCUACCUGCUCUGCUGUAAUAUGAAAUCUUAUAUAUAGAUGUAUGUGCAGGUUAUCUGAUUCUGCUAACGGUAUUGUUUCAGCUUUGACCAAACCUGUACUGAGUUCCGUCAGGUUCUCAUCUAGACUGUGGAACCAUUGGCGUUAUAGCCUAAAUGCAGUUGCCUGAUUAUUGUGGAAUGCCUUUUGUUUUUUGAGAUUGUUUAUUAAUUUAUU